AACCAUAUAAAAUGUAAAGAUCAUUUUUAACUUGCAUGUCUUAUGAAAAUAAGUGGACUGUACUCUCCUGAUACCUGACUGAAUGAGACAAUUGUCAUAUUCAGCAUGCUACCCCAGAGAAUGCAAAGCACAAAAGCCUUGCUCCAUAGUCUUGGUCAUACCUGACUUAUCUCUUUUCCUCCCCAAACCUAAUCCUUCCAAAUAUUCCUCCAGUGGGUCCACUCGUCUUUGUUCCCAUCAUCCUGUCUCCACUUCCUCUUGCACAAGUCUCAUACCUUCAAAGCAGCCCUCACCCAAGCGUGACACAUGAACGAUGGGUUUGGAAAGGCAGUGGGGUCAAGUCACACCCUGUUUAAGUGUCUUCAAUAGCCCUCCCGCCCUGUACUUUCAGAAUAAAUUCCAAACUUCUUACCAUGCCUUUCUCUCCAACCUUAUUUGUACUCCUCUCCUUGUCUUGACCCUGUGUGAUGUUUAAAUUUUAACAUGCCAACUUGACUGGGCCACAGGGUGCCCAGCCAAUUGGCCAAAUAUUAUUCUGGGUAUGUCUAGGAGGGUGUUUUGGGAUGAGAUUAACAUUUCAGUGAGUAUUCCAAGGAAAAAAGACUGUCCUCUGUAUUAGGCAGGGAUCUGUAAAGAAACAGAACCAAUAGAAGAUUGCCCAGUGGGAUCAUGAAGGCUGGGGCUCACAAGAUCUAAGUCUAAUCCAAGGGCAGGAGAAGAAUGAUGUACCCUUUAGUUUUCUCCCCUGCCAAUGUGAUUCAACCGCUACUCAGGGUCUCGUCAAUUCAAGAGAAGCCACCAAGCGAAGGAGCUUCCAAUUGAGUAGGUAAUCUGAUUCAUUCAGCAAACCUCCAAAUACCUAGUACAUGUUGGCAAGUGGCGGUAACCCAGGACCUUGAGCAGUGCACACAGCCUAAGAGCAGGAGAGUCUUUGUCUGGAGAAGUAGCAGCUGACCACAACAUCAUCUCUACUAGAAAAAAAUCAUUUUUUCCCAAUGACUUACUGUGCUUGCUUCCUGUUCCUCAGGCUGGCCUGAGAGGAGAGCCCGAACUUCCACAAGGAGCAGAAAGCAAAGCGAAAAUAGGACAGUCAUGCACCGCUUUCUUUGUGAUUAUUAGUGGCGAAGUUCAUGAGCUUCGAAGGGUUGUGGUCCCACUCCUCCCCUGAGCCACUCUCCUGCUUCACAAACUGCAACAGAAAGAACAUCUUUAAUUUAAGUAGAACAAUCUGAUUUCAGGGUAUGCUACAACUUAAUUGAAGAUAAAAUAACCUGUCCAGUUACAUGGGGUUGUCUCCCUACACCUGAGAGUCCCUCCAUGAGGCCACGGUUAUCUGAAACUUGCCAGCUGCUCUGGGCUCUGGGCCCUGGGAAAUCUUCCUUUUGCUAGAACUGCUUUUAUCACAGGGAAAUUCAAACCCUAAAAGAUCUUCGGGCCUGAGUGUGCCUGGGAUAGCAUUCUGCUCAUCUAGUUCUUUAAUGCAGAACAUGAACGAGAUUAAACUGUGCAAGGUGUUCAUUCCUGUGCAACAAUUUUCCUUCCAAGUAAGAAGACCCUGUACUUGCUCUACUGAGAAAGGCUUAAUCCUUCCACUUUUCCGGUGUGAAUUUCAUGCUUCAAAGGGGCUAAGUUUUGGAGAAACAAGGCCGUUAUUUUUAUACCUGUCCAACUUUCUGUUCACAGAGGCAAAUAAGAAUCUCAGUGGCAAAACAGCCCCAGAAUCUCUGGAAAAGAUCCUUGUUUUAAUGGUGACUUAACAUGUGGGCACUUUCCCUUUGAAUUUAAUUUUCUUCACAAAGCAGCACCUUGAGGUGCAAACUUCAAAACAGCAACCACAGCAAAACUGAAGGCAUUUAUGUCCUAGCUCUAGACAUUACCACACGGGCUGUUUAUUUUUCAGCUCUCUGAUAUAAUGUUGGGGUGAUAUGUCUGUCAUAUGACAGUAAGAAAACCAAUUAUGUGGGUCACACUCUAAAGUGAUUAAGUGCUGGCCGGCAAAGCCAGAGCAGCUUUUGAUUCACUAGAAAUACAUUUCCCAGCCCUGCAUUUUUACCAGGCAAUGCAGUUCAGCUUGUGCUGUGGUCUCUUUAUACAAUACUUCUUUAUUUGACUCAGAGUAUGUAUUUGUGAGCUAGUGCUGCAAGUCACAAAGGGAAGGAGGGCAUUAAUCGAUUGUACAUCUCCUAAAGCUUUAUUUCCACAAUACAUGAGUAAGUGCUAGAAAUGAAGGAAUGUCUCAAUUUGCCUGAAAACCUCCAACGUAGCUUUCUAAUAAGUAAGACGACAGGGUAAAAGCAUUCCUCAGCAUUUGACUCCUAAAGCCUCCCACGGCUGCUAAGAUUAGGUUUCCAGGAGGACUUGCCCCUCUCUCCUCCAUCGCAUGAGUGAGAAAUACAAUGGUCUCACAGCUUGAUUCCAACUAUACUUUAUUCCCUGAACAUACGCUUUGGUUUUCUUUAACAUAGAGCUGUUUAAAGUCAAUUGCAACAGUAGAGAAAAAAGAAAAGAAAACAGAAAAAAAAAUUAGGGAGUUCCCGUUGUGGCUCAGUGGUAACAAACCCAACUAGUAUCCAUGAGGACGCAGGUUCUUAACCAGCUGAGCCACAACAGGAACUCCUUCUUUCACAUUUUAACACAGAAUUCUUUUUCAUUAAGUGCCAUGUUUUGUAAGGCUAGUGUUCUAUAAAACAAACUUUUAAAAUCUCAAGAACUGAUCACUUAAAAGUGUUAGGAAUAGUCUACCAUCUUUUCUAUCACACUCUUCACUGUUUUCCACUUUUCUAUGAGGGUAUUUUUCAUAGUGCAAUCUAAAAUACACUAUCACAAUACAGAAAAGACAGAGGACAAAGAAUAUGCUUCAAAAUGCUCCCUGGUAUUAUUUCUCAUAUUUCCUACUGGGCUGAGCUUUGGGGCAAUUCUGGUAUCAUUCUGUUCUCCAAAGUACACGGCGGUCUGAAGAAAGCAUGAAUGAACAAAAUGAGGGGCUGCACGGAAGUGUGACUGCCACAUCUGUUAGCAGUGCAUUUGGUAAGCCUUCCCCUGUCGCUAUAUAUAUUCAGAAAUAAUGACAAAGAAAUGUAGUUCCUCCGGGCAAAUGAAAUGGAGGUGCAAAUUAGAAUCACACCUCCAGUCUCAUUUUGGUAUCACUUCUUGUCUGGAUAAACAACACUUACUCUCACUUUCCUACUCAUGGCAAGUAGCCACUGUUAACACUUGCAUUAGGGAUCAGUCACAACAAAUUACAGUUAAGUUUCACACUGCACUGCAGGAGGCGGCCUAGGGCCCCAGGGGAGCACCAAGUUGAGCUAGGCCCAUUACCAAUUUUGAGAUAACUAGCACUGAGGCUGAAAAGGCCUCUGUGCCUCAGCCACAUGAAGUGGUUAAAAUUCUAAUACUCUAAGUGGUAUCUUAAUAUUUCUGUGUAUGGUAGUUUAUUAUUCUCUGUGGAGAGCAGCCAUGGGUAGCUGCUUGCAAAAGGGGUGAUUUUAAUCACCAAUCAUUUUCAAGAACACAAGAUAUCAGUAGUACUCAACUGUGAAAGCUGUAUUAUAAUGGGAAACUGCCUGUGAGGAUUAAAAGCACAAACAGAUUUCACUUCAAGACAAUUCUGUUAGAAGCCAAACUUUCAGGCUAUGGAGAAUAUCACAGACCAUGAGCUACUCUAAAAAGCAAAUGGGGAGGAUGAGGAAGAGGCAGACUAUAGAUUCUACAAUCCAGGAAUUUGCCUUGUGUAUUGAAUGAACUGAGGAAACAGUUUUGUAACCCAGAUCCUAAAAUGGCCUGUUUACCAGUUACAAGUACAACAAAGUCUACCUUUCCUAAUUAAAGUAAAACCUGAAAAAAGGUCCACAGAGUUGAUGCAAUCAAUCUCUUCUAAGGAAGAAACCAGAAGUAAAAUAAAAUCUUUAAAAAAAUCUUUAAGAAUCAGGUUCUGCAUAAAUAUGAGAAAUAAGCUGUAAAAUAUUAUUUAAAUAAAACAAAUUCAGAUGAGCCCAUUCAUCACAGGAUUUAAUACAUUUUAGGCACAUGAGUGAUCCUAACAUUCCAAAACGGAGAGAGGAAACAAGGCCCUUUGUGAUAUGGAACCAGAUUUUUCCAGAUCCAGGAACAUGAUUCAUUCUGUAAUUUAGUAGAUUAAAAGGCGGGGAGAUUCUUGAUAUGCUUUAACCCCAAGUGAAACAUGAUGUGUUUAUGAUGGUUGCCCAUCUCUUUUCUACAAGACUCCUGUGGGUAAUUUCCAGGUAUCUGCUAGGUCUUCUAGAAGUACAGGAAAAUGAUCAGAAUCCAUCAUUUGGACAUACUCUCAUUCAUACACCUUGGGACAUCCAUUAGUACAGGCGUCCUCUCUUCGUUACAAGGAAUCACCAUGUGAGGUACCCCCUGAUGAGCCAAUAUACCUGGCUAUUAAUAGUAGCACUCAAUAAUGGCAGCUGCCAUGCACCAAGCACUAAGUACUGGCUAUGCAUGACCUAACUUACCCUUCACAAUAAAUUUAUAAGGUAGUUUUAUUAUGCAUAUUUUACACAGAAAUAAAUUGAGGCUCAAAGGGUGAAAUAAAUUGUUCUAGGUAGAAGAGCCAGUAAGUGACAUAGUACAGAUUCAUUCCCAACCUGUCUGACUCUAGUAAGCAUUUUUACUGAGAAACUACUAGGUACAGAAGAAGUAAAGCAGACAUGAGUAAGUUAAGACAUACUUUGUUAAUGAGUUCAAAGCUUAGUGAAGCAAGAUGUAAAAACCAGUUACUGUGAUAUGUCACAACAGAUUUCAGGCCAAGGGAGGAGGAUGCGGAAGAUGGCUUUUGAACUGAAGCUUGGGAAGAGGAAAAAGAUUCCUUUUCUUACUGAAGUCCUACUCUUUUUCCCAGGCUCACUGGGGUUUCAUAAGUGGGACAAGGGCAUUUAAGGUGAAGGAAAAAAUGUGGGCAGAAAACACAAAAAAUGAAGCUCACAUGUUCAUGAAAGUACAAACUAUCCAGGUUGGCUAAGAUGUAGGUACAAGAAAGGAAGUAUAAAGUAAGACUGGGAAAGUAAGAUUGGGCCAGUUGUGCAAAUGAGACUAUGCUUCAGAAUUGUGUAGAAUGCUCUAUAUCACUGCCAAGUUCCAUCAUCUUCCCUUACAAGCCUCUUCUUCCAUUGCCACAGGCACUUACUUGCUCUUCCCCUCACACGGCCUAAAGCAAAGGCCACUUAGUCUCCCACUCCUGUUUCAUCUCUCUUGGGCUGCCCUUCAAACACAGGUCAAAUUCUGUCACCAUUCCUUAU
rnacentral:lncRNA from 1 species